AUUGAACGCUAGCGGCAGGCCUAACACAUGCAAGUCGAACGCGUGGCGGACAGGUGAGUAAUAUCUGGGAAACUGCCCGAUGGAGGGGGGUAACUACUGGAAACGGUAGCUAAUACCGCAUACCCUAGGAUGUGCCCAGAUGGGAUUUGCGAGUGGGUGGGGUAACGGCUCACCUAGGCGACGAUCCCUAGAUGGUCUGAGAGGAUGACCAGCCACACUGGAACUGAGACACGGUCCAGACUCCUACGGGAGGCAGCAGUGGGGAAUAUUGGACAAUGGGCGAAACCCUGAUGCAGCCAUGCCGCGUGUAUGAAGAAGGCCUUCGGGUUGUAAAGUACUUUCAGCGAGGAGGCGGUACUUGCAGAAGAAGCACCGGCUAACUCCGUGCCAGCAGCCGCGGUAAUAC
rnacentral:rRNA from 1 species